UCUGACCUUGGAGUGCUCAGGCCUUGUUAGCUGCCAACCAACCCCAGGUGCUGCCCCCGCAAGAUGGACCUGCCGUCCUGCUGUUGUGGUACUCACACCCUCUGCUUUUUAACUCUGACAUGCUUUGGGAAUGUCCAGUUUAUUCUGCAGCUCCUCAGUGUGACAU
rnacentral:lncRNA from 1 species